rnacentral:misc_RNA from 1 species
CAGUGCUGUCGAAGGAUCCUGCUGG